GGCAAAUGAUUUUUUUUGAUAAACGUUCGUAGACAUAGCAUUAUGUUUUUCUUUGAUUUUAUUUCUUAAGGCGCAAUUCCACUGAGGCAACACUGAACGACAUGUGGCUUGAUAAUUGUUUCCUAGUGUUGCCUAUUGUAAGCGUCCGACUAUGUGGCACAAAAUUCAAUUAAUGUCGCAUGCGGAAUUGUUGCCUACACAUCGCAUUCGCGUUGUCGUACAUGAGUGUAGCAUGCGUCUUAUGCGAUUCCAUUCAGGCAACCUCAGUUUGGUACAUCAUGUCAUUACAAACAGUCGCGGCUGCUGCUUAUUUGAUAAUCGCUUUGAAUCGUAAAAGGAAAAGAAAAACACCACGAUAUUGGAGAAGAGAGCUAUAUGUUGAUGGUCAAGAAAUUCAGUAUAAUUUGUACAACAAGUUGGUUGCUGAAGGAGCCGGAUUGUGAAGGACGGGGAUCAAUAGGCCAUUCCGAACCCUAUGAUGGAUGCUUUUAGGGGGAG
rnacentral:lncRNA from 1 species